rnacentral:misc_RNA from 1 species
AAGUGAACCUGCGGAAGGAUCAUUAACACGUAUCCAAACGUUAAACAACCCCGUGAACAUACAACCCUGGUCGCCCGCUCGCAUGGACAAGCCCAGUAAAUCAAGCCCCGGAAAGUUUUUGAUUUGGGACCUCUGUGCGCGUGAGAAAAACUGACAGCGAUUCAUAGAAGCGGUAGGUCAAGUGACACGGCGUUCAAGGACGACUCUUCAAGAUUGCUAGAGGUCGACCACCGACCGGCUUCCGUGUAUACCGAGCUAACACCGCUCCCUUCCGAACCCCACUUUAUUGCCUUGCGAUAUCUUGGUUCUC